AAGGAAAAAAGUUAAUUGUACUGAGGUUUCAAUUUUUUUUUUUUUGUCACAGACAUGUGUAAAAAUUUUUCUGAACUGAUUCGUGUAUCAGCAACACGUUGGUACUCUAUGCUGAAAACUUUGAUAGAGUGAAGACCACAAAAGUGACUCGUGCCUCGACAAUUGUCCUCCAUAAGAAAAGAGAACAUCAGUUGGUUUAAAGAAAUAAACGAAAUAAGCAUAUGAGCAGCACCGAGCCCUAAUGUGUCCCAAUCAUCCAGAUGAAGAUAAUGGACAUUUUCCUUGACAUCAUCGUUUCUUCUCUCCCAGGAAAUCAAGAAUCUGAACCCACAGCUUUCCAACUAUGAGUGUCCUCUGCUCUUGCUAAUGUUACUGGAUUCUUAAACUGAUCAAUAAAUCGA